rnacentral:rRNA from 1 species
GGAUUAGGCAUGCAAGUCGUACGGGCCGCAAGGCCAGUGGCGCAAGGGUGAGUAAGGCGACGGCAACCAACCCCGUGACUGGGCAUAGCCGUGGGAAACCGCGGGUAAUUCCCAGCGACGUCCGUGGAAGGCAUCUUCCGCGGACCAAAGCUCCGGCGUCGCGGGACGGGCCGUCGUGCUAUUAGCUUGUUGGCGGGGUGACGGCCCACCAAGGCGAUGAUGGCUACCGGGCGUGCGAGCGUGGCCCGGCACACUGGGACUGAGACACUGCCCAGACUCCUACGGGAGGCUGCAGUCGAGGAUCUUCCGCAAUGGGCGAAAGCCUGACGGAGCGACACCGCGUACAGGAUGAAGGCCUUCGGGUUGUAAACUGUUGUCACGCUAUAGGAAAACCUUGGUGUUAAUAGCGCCAAGGCUGACUAAAGCGAGAGGAAGCAACGGCUAACUCUGUGCCAGCAGCCGCGGUAAUA